UACAGAGGCCUCGAGCGUUAGGCGGAAUCACUGGGCUUAAAGCGUGUGUAGGCGGACUUCUAAGUGCCUUGUGAAAUCCCACGGCUCACCCGUGGAACUGCUGGGCAUACUGGGAGUCUUGAGCCACCUAGGGGCGAGCGGAACAAAUGGUGGAGCGGUGAAAUGCGUAGAUAUCGUUUGGAACGCCAAUGGUGAAAACAACUUGCUGGGGGUGUGCUGACGCUGAGACACGAAAGCCAGGGGAGCAAACGGG
rnacentral:rRNA from 1 species